UACGUAGGGAGCAAGCGUUGUCCGGAAUCAUUGGGCGUAAAGCGCGCGUAGGUGGCCUCAUAAGUCCGCUGUGAAAGUCAAAGGCUCAACCUUUGAAAGCCGAUGGAUACUGUGAGGCUAGAGUCCGGAAGAGGCGAGUGGAAUUCCUGGUGUAGCGGUGGAAUGCGCAGAUAUCAGGAGGAACACCAAUAGCGAAGGCAGCUCGCUGGGACGGUACUGACGCUAAGGCGCGAAAGCGUGGGGAGCGAACAGG
rnacentral:rRNA from 1 species